CCUACGGGGGGCAGCAGUGGGGAAUAUUGCACAAUGGGCGGGAUCCUGAUGCAGCAAAGCCGCGUGAGCGAAGAAGGCCUUCGGGUCGUAAAGCUCUGUCCUCAGGGAAGCUAAUGACGGUACUUGACGCGGAAGCCGCGGCUAACUACGUACCGGCAGCCGCGGUAAUACGUAGGGGGCUAGCGUUAUCCGGAAUUACUGGGCGUAAAGGGUGCGUAGGUGGUUUCUUAAGUCAGCGGUGAAAGGGUACGGCUCAACCGUAGUAAGCCUUUGAAACUGGGGAACUUGAGUGCAGGAGAGGAGAGCGGAAUUCCUAGUGUAGCGGUGAAAUGCGUAGAUAUUAGGAGGAACACCAGUUGCGAAGGCGGCUCUCUGGACCGUAACUGACACUGAGGCACGAAAGCGUGGGGAGCAAACAGGAUUAAAUACCCUAGUAGUC
rnacentral:rRNA from 1 species